CCACACAUACCGUGCUCUGUUGCU
rnacentral:miRNA from 1 species